rnacentral:rRNA from 1 species
AGGGAAUCUUCGGCAAUGGACGGAAGUCUGACCGAGCAACGCCGCGUGAGUGAAGAAGGUUUUCGGAUCGUAAAGCUCUGUUGUAAGAGAAGAACGAGUGUGAGAGUGGAAAGUUCACACUGUGACGGUAUCUUACCAGAAAGAGACGGCUAACUACGUGCCAGCAGCCGCGGUAAUACGUAGGUCCCGAGCGUUGUCCGGAUUUAUUGGGCGUAAAGCGAGCGCAGGCGGUUAGAUAAGUCUGAAGUUAAAGGCUGUGGCUUAACCAUAGUAGGCUUUGGAAACUGUUUAACUUGAGUGCAAGAGGGGAGAGUGGAAUUCCAUGUGUAGCGGUGAAAUGCGUAGAUAUAUGGAGGAACACCGGUGGCGAAAGCGGCUCUCUGGCUUGUAACUGACGCUGAGGCUCGAAAGCGUGGGGAGCAAACAGGAUUAGAUACCCUGGUAGUCCACGCCGUAAACGAUGAGUGCUAGGUGUUAGACCCUUUCCGGGGUUUAGUGCCGUAGCUAACGCAUUAAGCACUCCGCCUGGGGAGUACGACCGCAAGGUUG